rnacentral:lncRNA from 1 species
CGCGGUAGCCGGGACCAAGAGCUGGCUCAGAUCAGGGUCUGGAACGGGGACGGGCCGUGCCUGGGCCUGGUCCCCACCUUUGGGGCCAAAGCCUGGGUGCGGGCCUUGCGGAUGCUGCGGAGGACAAGCGGCUGCUGACACCGUGCGGACUCCGCCCCAGCAGACCCGUGCCCCAGGGACAGUCCCUCCCGCGCGCGCCCAGCGCUCAAUGCCGUCCCCGGCCGCCUAGUUCAGCAGCUGGCUGGGGGCGGGACGGGGUCGAGUUGCGGGGCCGCGUCCAGACACGGCUGUGCGGGCGACAGCUGCAUCCCCUCCCCGCGCCGCCCCUCGCUCCCGGCCCCGUACCCGCCCCAGCCUCCCGGCCUUACCCGCCACGGGCCUCGGUUGGAACCGCGCGCUGGAGUAUCCGUCCCUGAGGCCGCGGCCGAGCGGGAAGGAGCGGGCGGGCGGCGGCGCGGACCCUCAGCCGGAGCGCGGAGCCGCGGCGCCUGGGUUUUGCGCGAGGCCUCCGCCCUGGGAUUGGGGCGGGCAGUCGCGGAGGCGCAUCCCUGGUGAGCCGGUGGGAGGGGAAAAGGAUGUCGCGUCCCCCAUCCUUGCGGCCUCCCGUCCUCCGUCACCAGCCCCCUCCGUCUCCUGCAUCACAAGGCCCCGUCCCCGCGGUCCCCCGCGACCCCCGCACCCGGCUCCGCUCCACCCGCCGUGCUUCCUGCCCCUCCACACCCUCGUCCCCACCCGGGCCCAUCCCCCUGUGAGCCCUGGUGCCCUGGGAUGAGGGCCGAGGUCCUGAGCGGAGAGGGUGCUUGUACCAGCCCCAUGGUGGCUCGAGCCCACCCCGCGGCCCCUCCCGUGGCAGGUGCGGUUUCUCCACCGGUUGUCAGCUGCGGGGCCGGGCGGAGACCUCCUCAACCUCCGGCCUUGUUUCAGGGAGGAUGGGGUCGACCCUUGCGAUCCCCAGAGGCCCCCCAUGGCUCCUUCUGGGCUGGCUGUCUUCCUCCUGUGGGUUCUGAUGCCACCUGGGCCGACGGCGUCUUCUCAGCCCAGGGCGGCCGCGCCUCCGGUGAGUUUCAGCUGAGGGCGCGCGGCCAGCUCCGAGCCUGGCUCCGGGUGCAGCACCGGCCUGGGACCUCUGCUGUCCCGUGUAGGGGUGCCCUGCAAAUAUGUGAUGAAUAAGUGAAGAAAUACGUUUUAUCUUCUAACUUGCCGGAUGUUAGAAGGAAACCAAGCUUAUGCUUCUCAUUUAUAGCUACCGUUAAGGAUUGGACAGAAGCUUAGCUUUUUGGGUGAGACGGACAACAGUGUUUUUAGAACCUUUGGCAAGGAAGAGCUGGAAAGAACAUGUAUUUGAAAGUGACUGACAGGUCUUCUGGCCCUAGGGGGCCACCUGAGCAGGUGCACCCAGCUUCCCUCCAAGACAGAAAAUAAAUUAACAAGGAGAGCAGGAAGGGCCCCGGCAGACUCCAGACGGGAGGGGGUGCUGCCCAUCAGGCAGAAGGAGCUUGGAAGGGAGGGGCCGUGGCCAUGGGACGUGGAGGUGGGAGCGGGGGUCAUCAUAGGUCUGCACACUCGGGUUGAGUCCCCCUUCCCCAUCACACACAGGACAGCCAGCAGUGAGCUGCUUACCCCAAGGAGUCAAGGGGGUUCUUGGGCAACCCCUGGUGCUGGAGCCGGCAGUGGACAGCACCGCAGCCAGACCUUGCUUAUUUUUGGCUCAUGAGGAACAUCUGUGACCGUUCCCUCCCCUGGCCCUGGGAGGGGAUGUGUGACCUCCACUCAAGACAGCCAUGCGGCUCCUCCGGCUGCGGGCGGGGAGGGCAUGUUUCCCAGCACAGGCCCAGGACUGCCAGCUGAGAGGCUGGGAGGGGCCCCUCACCCCUAGACUUUGCAUGUGAAGCCAAGCGUGGAGCCUCACAGGGAAUCUGAGAUGGGAGCCAGUGAGAUGGGGGCAGGACCCAGAGGGGAGAAGAGGUCCUGGGGAUGCUGUGGAUCUGGAUCCAGCGUGCGGGAGCUGAGGUUCCGGAGUGAAACACUGCCUUUCAUGGAAGCACGUCUUCCUGUCACCCAUCGGCUUCAUUUUAAAGGAUGAAAAUGUAUCAGACAUUCAAGGAGAGCUGCAUCACAUAAAAGAAAGACCAGGCAAAGAAACGGAAAAUAAAUGGAUUGAGAAAUGUGAAUGACUCCAAUCAUUCCAAUCAUUGGAAUGAAUGGAUUGGAUAAAACUCCAAUCCAUAGACUCAGAUUAGGGAGAUAUAUUUAUAUAAUAAGAACAGGAAACUGUGAAGAUGAAAUAAGACAAAAAAGACACUUUUGAGAUUAAAAAAUUACUGCAAAAAAAAAAAAAAAAAACAACAGAAGGAUGGAAUUGUAUAUUUAAGGAAAUGUUUCUGGCAAAAAGGCAGCAAAUAUGAAAGAAAAGGGGAUAGACCCAGGGGAUCCAUUUUGGGCUCUAACAUCUAACAGUUGUUCCAAGGCCGAGAACACAGAAUGGGAAAAGGAAGGGGGAGGCGGUGCUCCAGCUGAUUUUAUGAUUCCAGAAGCCUUCUAUCUUAAGAUGUAUAGGAUGUAUCUUAGGGUGUAUAAGAGAAGCGCAAGAGAAACAUUUAGGCUGUUUUAUGUUUGAGUAGAGACAUGAAAGUUUUAGAUAAAGCAGCAGCACAAUGAGUCCAGCGGCACAUCAGAAAGCAAAUCACCAUGAUCAGGUCAGGUUCAGGGUGGUUUUAUGUCAUAACAUAUGUCAGUGUGCUUUACCUAUUAGUGGACCAAAGGCAAAAAAUACGGUUUUCUACAGAGAAAGACAAAGCAUUUGAUUUCAAUCAACAUUCGUUUGUGGUGAAACAUGUUGAGAAAACUCAUCAUAGAAGUGAAAUGUUUUCUUUGAUAAAGGCUAAUCUCAGAAGACAUACGUAGUGGAGAGCUUUUAAAUGUAUUUUUAAAAAUACGAACCAAUGAGAAGAUUGCCUACUUUCACCGCUUCUGUUUAACACAGCAUUGGCAGAGCUGCCACCAAGAAGAACACAGCACGUUGAAGGCACGGUGGCUCCUGAAGCUGCAGCCCUGAGACCUGAUUGUACCAUGGAAGGUGGGGUGGCUCCUGCAGCUGUAGCCCUGAGACCUGAUUCCACCACAAGUGCUGCAGCUGGCAGAGGCCACAGGACAUAGGCAUAGCUGGUGAAACCUGCAACUGAGGGUGUCGGGGGCUCCUGGGAGAGCCUCCGUCCCCGCUAAGGAGAGGGGCUGCGUAGAACCUGUGUGCUAUUGUCCUUUCCCCCUUUUUCCUGCUGGGAGUGGGACUUGGUGCCGAGGGUGGCUCCUGACAUCGGAAGACCCCAGGAUGCUGGGUCAGCGGCUAGGCGGGUGGAGGGUGGGGUUGUCCCCGGCACACGGCGGUGCUGCUCUGCCACUCUGCACUGCUGGGUGUCUCACAUCUCAUCCCUGUAUUAAGCAGGUACUCCCUAGACUUGCAGCCAGAUGUAUACCUUAGAUUUAAAAGAUGGUAGAAUUUCUCUACCAGAACAAAAAAUAGCUUUAAAAAAUAUAAGAUAAAAAGCCAUUCAUAGUCUGGCACGAUGGCUCAUGCCUGUAAUCCUAGCACUUUGGGAGGCCGAGUCGGGCAGAUCACCUGAGGCCAGGAGUUCGAGACCAGACUGGUCAAAAUGGUGAAACCCCGUCUCUACUAAAAUUACAAAAAUUAGCUAGUCAUGGUGGUACAUGCCUGUAAUCCCAGCUACACGGGAGGCUGAGGCACGAGAAUCACUUGAACCCAGGAGGUGGAGGUUGCAGUGAGCUGAGAUUGAGAUUGCGCCACUGCACUCCAGCCUGGGUGACAGAGCAAGACUCCUUCUCCAAAAAAAAAAAAAAAAAAAAAAGCCAUUCACCACAGUCCGCAAUGUAAAAGACCUCUGUGGAGAACAUCAAAAAGUUAUUAAAGAAUAUAAAAGAAAAUCUGCAUAAAUGGAGGAUGCACAGGAUAUUGUGAAGGUGACCGUUUGCCACAAAUUGAUCCAUAAAUUUAAUGAAAUUACAAUAAAAAUCUUUGCAUAAUUUUUAAAAGACUGUUAUGAACUGAACAGUGUCUCCCUCAAAUUCAUGCAUUGAAUUCCCAACCCCUAAUACUGCAGGGGUGGGUGCAUUUGGAAAUAGGACCUUAAAGAGGUGACUAAGGUUAAAUGAGGUGAGGUGAGCUUGAUGUCGUUAACAAGAGGAACUCAGGACCCAGACACCCACUGUGGGAUGGCUCUGUGAAGACAUAGGGAGAAGAUGGUGUCUACAAGCCAAGAAGAGAGGAUGCAGAAGAAACCAACCCUGCCAAACUGUGAGAAAACAAAUUUUUGUUGUUUAAGCCACCCUGUCUGUGGCACUUUGUUAUGAUAGUAACAAAAUAGCACAGAACCCAAAAGUUUCUAAAGUCUAUAUGGAAAAAUAAAUGCCUAAAAUAGCUAUUAAUAAAAUAAUUUUGAAAAAGAAGAUCAAAGAAGAGUAACUCACCAUGUCAUAUUAAGACGUUGUAGAAAGCCAUAGUAAUAAAACAACCAAGUCUUUGCAAGGAUUAGACAGAGACCAACACGAGAACAAGGAUACCAUUAAGAAGCUCAUGUAGGAACCUGUCCAUGUCUACAGGAAUAAAAGAAGAUUGAGAAUUUUGGAAGAGACUGGGAAACUAAAAGGACAAAAAGGAAAGUCUAGAAUCAAAAAAUACAUUUUAAAACACAGAAGAUUAGACAUGGCUAGAGAGAGAAUUAGUAACAUGGAAGAUCAAAAUAUCCAGAAAAAAAAAAAGGAGGCAGAGGGUACACUAUAAAAAGGCCUGACAUGCCAUGUAAUAGAAGCAAUGGAAGAAGAUAAUGAGGUAGGUGUAAUAUUUAAGGAAAUAAUCACCAAUCAGUUCCAAAAACUGAUGAAAGAAAUUAAAUCAUGAAUUCUAGAGGCAUUACAAACUCCAAGUGCAAUAAAUACAAAAAAAAGCAUACCUAGGUAAGACAGCUUUAAACCAAACAACUUCCAGAAGCAGGGGAAACUCAAAUUACCUGCAAAAGAGUAAAAGUAAGACUGGCAGCUGGCUUCUCAACAGAAAGAGGCAGUGGGUGACAAAGCAGAAAUGCAGUUUGU